UGUGUGCAGAUGCGUGUGAAGCAGGCGAGCGCUGCGUGUAAAGUCAGACCGUGGAGUGCAGGUUUGGUCCGUGAACGCGCCGUGUGUGUCGAGUGUCAGAGCGACGCCAUGGCGGCCGAUAACCGUUGCCGUGGAGACGGACUGCUGAACAUCAGAACCUUCUGGGCCGCUGCGUCAGCACCCGGUUGCUCCGGGUCGUGGGUUCGAGAGUCUUUCACUGAGGACUGCCGGUGUCCGUCGUACUCCGUGAUUUUUGUCUGAACCGACACGGCCUUUAAAGCUCAUUUCGAGGGACAAGGGAGUCAUUUCAUGCCUUUUGAAGCCAAAUUCUCCAUCAAAAGAACUGCAAUGACGCCACAGCGUAUCUGUGUAUCAGUUCGUAACCAACACACAACCCUGCUUUCCCAAGCUCUUCUAUCUACCUCCAGUUCUCCACAUGCACCUGCACCCGUUUCUGAUGCCUUAUAUCAUAGUCAGGGCUCGACAUUAAGGCUUGUCCGCUUGUUCGGGACAAGUAGAAGAGAAAAUUAUUUGUCCGACCGGACAAGUUAAAUUUCAAAUUAAAUAAAAUGCCAUGUUACUUCACGUUAUGUGCCACUCGUUACGUCUAUUUUUUUACGUCGAUUUGAAACGAACACAUUUUUCGCUUGCCUGUGAAUGUGACUCACAGAAAGACGUGUGCCAGUAUAAUGCGCAUGCACAGAAGUUCUUUCACGCUUGAACGAACAUCAACAACACACACAAUUAAGCCAAAAUGUAAUUUGUCGAGUAUCUUCAUAACAUAAGAGCAGUCUUACGAUGGACAUAAAGAGUUGUGACUCGUGAGAAAGAGACGCGUGUGAGAUCCGCGUCUCUGUCCACAGUGGCUGAUCUUAAAGGGCCAGCUACCAAUAAAGCGUUCAGUCAGUAAAGUUAAUGAAAGAACAAAGGGACUAGAGAAAAUUACUCACUGCUCUUGACUAAAGAACUUGUGUAGCUUUAAUAAGGAGUAGUCUAUAUAAUUUAUAAUUUAUGCAGCGCAGACUGUUUGAUAACUUUAUUCAGUUUCUGUAUGUAACCGGUGGCUCGCGACACCAGUUAUAAUAAUACUUGUCUGCGUUGUGUAGAUAAAGACACUGGACCACAGGCGGCGAUUUCACUGGGUUUACUCUCUGAUACACAAAACACAUAGGAUAGUCUUGAGUGAGACGCUCCUAUAUAUCACUAUAAAACAAAUGUGACGUACAUUUAGUCACCAUGUGCUUUUAUCUCCACAUAUAUGGAUCAAAGUCAAAAAUAUAACUCAAUCAGGACAAAAUCACCGAAAUAACCAUACAGAUAUGUAAAGUAACCCAAUAUGCAUGCAUUGAAGUGAAAAUAUAAACAUAAAACCAAUGAUUAAAGUGAAGAUUAAUUAAGAUUAA